GGAGAGUUGGCCGAGUGGUUGAUGGCGGUAGUCUUGAAAACUAUUGUGCGGAAACGUACCGGGGGUUCAAAUCCCUCACUCUCCGCCA
rnacentral:tRNA from 1 species